AUGGAAAAGUAUUGGUGGAGUAGCUCGAUCGACAAGAGGUCUCUUCACUGAUUCUCUUGGAAGGAAUUGGCAGAACCAAAUUGUCAGGGAGGGAUGGGUUUUUGCGACCUCCACAUGUUCAAUCUUGCACUCCUUGGCAAAAAUGGCUGGCGCUUCUUGACAAAUCCCACCUCACUUUGUGCCAGAGUUAUGAAGGGUAGAUACUUUCCAGACACUGAUUUCCUGCAUGCCACAGCACCUAAGGCCGCUUCGGCUACUUGGCGGGCAAUCAUUGCUGGACGAGAAGCUUUACUUGCGGGGAUUGUUCAGCGUGUUGGUGAUGGCACUUCAAUCAAUCCGUGGACAGACAAGUGGAUUCCC
rnacentral:rRNA from 1 species